UUGCUUCAGCAGCAUAUAGACUAAAAUUGGAAUCACAUAGAGAAGAUUAGCGUGGAGCCUGCAUGAGGAUGAUGUGCAAAUUUGUGAAGUGUCCCAUAUUUAA